rnacentral:tRNA from 1 species
UCAACUUUGGCACAGUAGGUAGGCAUCAGUCUUGCAAGCUGAAAGUCCCAAGUUCAAUCCUUGAAAGGAGGG